rnacentral:rRNA from 1 species
GGCAAAAGCUCAAAUUUGAAAUCUGGUACCUUCGGUGCCCGAGUUGUAAUUUGGAGAGGGCAACUUUGGGGCCGUUCCUUGUCUAUGUUCCUUGGAACAGGACGUCAUAGAGGGUGAGAAUCCCGUGUGGCGAGGAGUGCGGUUCUUUGUAAAGUGCCUUCGAAGAGUCGAGUUGUUUGGGAAUGCAGCUCUAAGUGGGUGGUAAAUUCCAUCUAAAGCUAAAUAUUGGCGAGAGACCGAUAGCGAACAAGUACAGUGAUGGAAAGAUGAAAAGAACUUUGAAAAGAGAGUGAAAAAGUACGUGAAAUUGUUGAAAGGGAAGGGCAUUUGAUCAGACAUGGUGUUUUGUGCCCUCUGCUCCUUGUGGGUAGGGGAAUCUCGCAUUUCACUGGGCCAGCAUCAGUUUUGGUGGCAGGAUAAAUCCAUAGGAAUGUAGCUUGCCUCGGUAAGUAUUAUAGCCUGUGGGAAUACUGCCAGCUGGGACUGAGGACUGCGACGUAAGUCAAGGAUGCUGGCAUAAUGGUUAUAUGCCGC